CAAAGAUAAUGUAUAUUCCUACAUAUAAGGAAUACACUGUGUUACAUGAUUUCUUUACACAGUUUGAGAAUAUAAAAAUAUUUGUAAAGAAAAUUCAUGAAGGAUAAUGGGCUUGUUUGUCAUCAUGCGAUAAAAGCGUGUUGCGAGAUAAUUGGCAUAAAGGAUAUGUAUGCCAAAGUACAAGGAGGAAUGUAAAAGCAUUCUUUAUUGGUUUAUUGCAACAAUAAUUCUAUUGGAAAAAACGCAUCAGACAAAACUUUCCUGUACAUUUUAAAUGUGCCAAAAGAUUUGCUCUUUAUUCCACUUACUGCAAUAAUGUACACUAAAAAUGACAGCUCUAUAUUAAAAAUGAUAAAUCUAUGUUUAGUAGUUGGAAAGAAAGAGAGGAGAAAUGAAA